CUCACCAAGCCGACGAUCAGUAGCCGACCUGAGAGGGUGACCGGCCACAUUGGGACUGAGACACGGCCCAAACUCCUACGGGAGGCAGCAGUGGGGAAUAUUGCACAAUGGGGGAAACCCUGAUGCAGCGACGCCGCGUGAGCGAUGAAGUAUUUCGGUAUGUAAAGGUCUAUCAGCAAGGAAGAAGAAAGACGGUACUUGACUAAGAAGCACCGGCUAAAUAC
rnacentral:rRNA from 1 species